rfam:Triticum aestivum genome assembly, contig: Triticum_aestivum_CS42_TGACv1_scaffold_249344_3DL
CAGCUACUCCCUCCGUUCGGAAUUACUUGUCGCAGAAAUGGAUGUAUCUACACGUAUUUUAGUUCUAGAUAUAUUCAUUUCCAAGACAAGUAAUUCCGAACGGAGGGAGUACUGU